UACGGAGGAUGCAAGCGUUAUCCGGAAUGAUUGGGCGUAAAGCGUCCGCAGGUGGCUGUGUAAGUCUGCUGUUAAAGGGUGAGGCUCAACCUCAUAAAGGCAGUGGAAACUACAUGGCUAGAGUGCGUUCGGGGCAGAGGGAAUUCCUGGUGUAGCGGUGAAAUGCGUAGAGAUCAGGAAGAACACCUGCGGCGAAGGCGGGUAGCUGGGCCAACACUGACGCUGAUGCGCGAAAGCUAGGGGAGCAAACGGG
rnacentral:rRNA from 1 species